GGGGUUGUGGCUCAGUGGUAGAGUGCUUGUCUUGCAUAUUUGUGGCCCUGGGUUCAAUCCUCAGCACCA
rfam:Ictidomys tridecemlineatus contig036525, whole genome shotgun sequence.